AUUUGCACAUGGGCGCAGCCUGAUGCAGCAACGCCGCGUGAGGGAUGACGGCCUUCGGGUUGUAAACCUCUUUUAGUAGGGAAGAAGCGAAAGUGACGGUACCUGCAGAAAAAGCACCGGCUAACUACGUGCCAGCAGCCGCGGUAAUA
rnacentral:rRNA from 1 species